CCUACGGGAGGCAGCAGUGGGGGAUAUUGCACAAUGGGGGGAACCCUGAUGCAGCGACGCCGCGUGGGUGAAGAAGCGCCUCGGCGCGUAAAGCCCUGUCAGCAGGGAAGAAAAUGACGGUACCUGAAAAAGAAGCCCCGGCUAACUACGUGCCAGCAGCCGCGGUAAUACGUAGGGGGCAAGCGUUAUCCGGAUUUACUGGGUGUAAAGGGGGCGCAGACGGCGAUGCAAGCCAGGAGUGAAAGCCCGGGGCCCAACCCCGGGACUGCUCUUGGAACUGCGUGGCUGGAGUGCGGGAGGGGCAGGCGGAAUUCCUGGUGUAGCGGUGAAAUGCGUAGAUAUCAGGAGGAACACCGGUGGCGAACGCGGCCUGCUGGACUGCAACUGACGUUGAGGCCCGAAAGCGUGGGGAGCAAACAGGAUUAGAUACCCGGGUAGUC
rnacentral:rRNA from 1 species